rnacentral:ncRNA from 1 species
UGUUAUUGGUACGGAUACACCAUGCAAGGAGCACAGUUACUCAGGAUGAGUGGCUUAUGUUUAAGGAACGUAAUGGAUAUACAAGGAACGUAAUGGAUAUACAAGGAAUGUAAUGGAUGUACGGGAGCCAAGGAUGCUAUAAACGGAGCUAAUGUAAAGGGAUGUUCAGGACAUUGGCCGGAGCGCCGGGCGAAUCGCCUUCAGGGUUUGAGGGGUGGCAAGGAUCGCGUAUUGCAGGAGGGAGAAACCGGGACGUUAUCUAAGUGCAGGGAGUGCGCUGUAAGGAUAUCCUUCCGCAGAAGGUGCGAAAAAAGGCGACAGGUUAACCUGCCGCCUUUUUUCUUU